rnacentral:rRNA from 1 species
GACGAACGCUGGCGGCGUGCUUAACACAUGCAAGUCGAACGGAAAGGCCCUGCUUUUGUGGGGUGCUCGAGUGGCGAACGGGUGAGUAACACGUGAGUAACCUGCCCUUGACUUUGGGAUAACUUCAGGAAACUGGGGCUAAUACCGGAUAGGAGCUCCUGCUGCAUGGUGGGGGUUGGAAAGUUUCGGCGGUUGGGGAUGGACUCGCGGCUUAUCAGCUUGUUGGUGGGGUAGUGGCUUACCAAGGCUUUGACGGGUAGCCGGCCUGAGAGGGUGACCGGCCACAUUGGGACUGAGAUACGGCCCAGACUCCUACGGGAGGCAGCAGUGGGGAAUAUUGCACAGUGGGCGGAAGCCUGAUGCAGCAACGCCGCGUGCGGGAUGACGGCCUUCGGGUUGUAAACCGCUUUCGCCUGUGACGAAGCGUGAGUGACGGUAAUGGGCAAAGAAGCACCGGCUAACUACGUG